AUGGGCCUGCAAGGCCCCCAUCAUAUGUGUUUUUUUUUUUUUUUUUUUUUAAAUUUUGGGACUUUUGUGCUUCUGUGGAGUUUGCCAUCUCUAUCUGAGUGUGUGUGUGGACUAGCUUUUCUUAUCUCUGUCUGGCAUUCAGAGGUUUUAGCCCUAGGCAGAUUGUCUGUUCUAUGCAGUUGUUGUUCUGUCUUCCCGGGAAACCAGGAGUUGCUGGUGUGUCACUGUUACUGCCCUCCUCUCCUCGGCACCCUCCUGAUGCUUCUCUGUUGCCUUACUUCCAAGCUCUAAGCCUAGCUUGGCCCUUGUUCCUGUGCCUUAGCCGGCCAGUACCUGCACUCUUCAGGGAGAGGAGCCACGGCUUCCCGGAGCUCCGAGGGCUCCUCCCAGGGGGUUAAGAGCUCCCCCGUCUCUCUCUGUUUCCCUGCUGUCUGGGUUCCCCCUCGACUGGGUUAGGUUGUUUUCAGGAUGUGGCCUUCAGAGUAGCAGGCUGUGGGGCUCUGAGGUUGCCUCUGCUGCCUGGGACUCGGACUGGGCACUCUGGGUUGGGGGGGAUGGGUCCUAGGACCUUCCUUCUGUCUACCCCUUAGGUCCGAGUGGUCUCGGGUUCUGGCUUUUGGGGGGGGGCAUAUCUUUUGAUUCAGGUCCAGCUCCAGGAGGAGGACUGUGCUGUUGAUCAUUUUGAAUUUCGGUGCCCUAGGAGCAUUUGGUUUGAGAUCAGUAAGGAAGGGUUUCAGGAGAUCUGGACUUUAGCUUUCUCUAAGCUGCCAUCUUGACCGGAAGUUCCAUACUUUUGUUAAGCUAAGUACCUAUAAAGGUCAAGCAACUUGUGAAUUUACAAGGAACAAAGAACUGGAAAACUUACUCAGAGCUUUCCUGGUGUGAAUUACUCAAAAAUCCACACCUUCUUAGGUGUGGACUAAGAAUGGGCGGUCCUUAUAGAAACAUCUACAGUGAUUGGCAGAUGUAAGGACUUAGGGGAGUUGACAGAGGAGAUUUUGCCCUUAAAAAUAAGAGCUCAGGGAAGAGCUGAGAAGUCAUUCUGAAACAUUCAGAUUGGAGAGACUCAUUCUGAGGAGACUGAUUCUGAAACAUUCAGAUGGAGGAGGGAGCUGGUGAAAGCAGCUGAGAUGCUGCUGGCCUGGUGUCAUUGGAAAUCCUUACUUAGACAGAUCUUAUGGUGAGUUAUAAAAAACUGACUGAUUUCUCUUUUAAGACUCAGGUCUAGGCCAUAUUGGCUUGAGGCCCUUCAUACUUAUUCCUUUCUUACUCUCUCUCUCUUUCUUUGAUU
rnacentral:lncRNA from 1 species